rnacentral:rRNA from 1 species
GACGAACGCUGGCGGCGUGCUUAACACAUGCAAGUCGAACGAUGAAGCCGGAGCUUGCUCUGGUGAAUUAGUGGCGAACGGGUGAGUAACACGUGAGUAACCUGCCCUUGACUCUGGGAUAACUGCGGGAAACUGUAGCUAAUACCGGAUACGACCCUCGGAGGCAUCUCCUGGGGGUGGAAAGAAUUUCGGUCAAGGAUGGACUCGCGGCCUAUCAGCUAAUUGGUGAGGUAAAGGCUCACCAAGGCGACGACGGGUAGCCGGCCUGAGAGGGUGACCGGCCACAAUGGGACUGAGACAGAGCCCAGACUCCCACGGGAGGCAGCAGGGGGGAAUAUUGCACAAUGGGCGCAAGCCUGAUGCAGCAACGCCGCGUGAGGGAUGACGGCCUUCGGGUUGUAAACCUCUUUUAGUAGGGAAGAAGCGAAAGUGACGGUACCUGCAGAAAAAGCACCGGCUAACUACGUGCCAGCCGCCGCGGUAA